UGGGGAAUAUUGCACAAUGGGCGCAAGCCUGAUGCAGCCAUGCCGCUUGUAUGAAGAAGGCCUUCGGGUUGUAAAGUACUUUCAGCGGGGAGGAAGGGAGUAAAGUUAAUACCUUUGCUCAUUGACGUUACCCGCAGAAGAAGCACCGGCUAACUCCGUGCCAGCAGCCGCGGUAAUACGGAGGGUGCAAGCGUUAAUCGGAAUUACUGGGCGUAAAGCGCACGCAGGCGGUCUGUCAAGUCGGAUGUGAAAUCCCCGGGCUCAACCUGGGAACUGCAUUCGAAACUGGCAGGCUAGAGUCUUGUAGAGGGGGGUAGAAUUCCAGGUGUAGCGGUGAAAUGCGUAGAGAUCUGGAGGAAUACCGGUGGCGAAGGCGGCCCCCUGGACAAAGACUGACGCUCAGGUGCGAAAGCGUGGGGAGCAAACAGG
rnacentral:rRNA from 1 species